rnacentral:ncRNA from 23 species
CCACCCCCCGGCCCCCUCCUCUGAAGAGGAGGGGGAGAGAGGGCCGAUAAGCCCCCUCCUCUUCAGAGGAGGGGGUUGGGGGGUGG